UACGAAGGGGGCUAGCGUUGCUCGGAUUGACUGGGCGUAAAGGGCGCGUAGGCGGCGCGGUAAGUCACUUGUGAAAUCCUCUGAGCUUAACUCAGAACGGCCAAGUGAUACUGACAGUGCUAGAGGUGUGGAAGGGGCAAUCGGAAUUCUUGGAUGUAGCGGUGAAAUGACGUAGAUAUCGAGAGGAACACCUGCGGCGAAGGCGGGUAGCUGGGCCGACACUGACGCUGGAUGCGGCGAAAGCCCAGGGGAGCGAAACGGG
rnacentral:rRNA from 1 species